UAUAUAGUUAAUGUGCCCCAAAGACUAGGAUAGCCACUGGAAACGGUGAUUAAUACUGGAUAAGCCUCUAUCGCAUAAGUGAGCGAGGAAAACGUUUUUUCGCUUUGGGAUCAGACUAUAUCCUAUCAGCUUGUUGGUGAGGUAAGAGCUCACCAAGGCAAUGACGGGUAGCGGGUUUGAGAGGAUGAUCCGCCACACUGGUACUGAGACACGGACCAG
rnacentral:rRNA from 1 species